rnacentral:rRNA from 1 species
UACGAACCGUACAAACGUUAUUCGGAAUCACUGGGCUUAAAGGGUGCGUAGGCGGCCAUGUAAGUGAGGUGUGAAAUCCCUCGGCUCAACCGAGGAACUGCGCUUCAUACUGCAUGGCUUGAGGGAGACAGGGGUAAGCGGAACUGAUGGUGGAGCGGUGAAAUGCGUUGAUAUCAUCAGGAACACCGGUGGCGAAAGCGGCUUACUGGGUCUCUUCUGACGCUGAGGUACGAAAGCUAGGGGAGCGAACGGGAUUAGAAACCCCCGUAGUCC